rfam:Myotis davidii contig2968, whole genome shotgun sequence.
GGCGGUUCUCGGGUGAUGCACCCUGGAUUUGGGCUUCCUCCUCUCUGGUUCCGGCUGUGUCACCAGGAAACCGCA